rnacentral:rRNA from 1 species
UGGGCGAAAGCGCUGAUGCAGCCAUGCCGCGUGUGUGAAGAAGGCCUUCGGGUUGUAAAGCACUUUCAGCGAGGAGGAAAGGUAUAGUAGUUAAUAACUGCUAGCUGUGACGUUACUCGCAGAAGAAGCACCGGCUAAUUUAGUGCCAGCAGCCGCGGUAAUACUAAAGGUGCAAGCGUUAAUCGGAAUUACUGGGCGUAAAGCGCGCGUAGGUGGUUUGUUAAGUUGGAUGUGAAAGCCCAGGGCUCAACCUUGGAACUGCAUCAAACUGACUCACUAGAGUAUGAGAGAGGUUAGUGGAAUUUCCUGUGUAGCGGUGAAAUGCGUAGAGAUGGGAAGGAACACCAGUGGCGAAGGCGACUGACUGGUCUCGAUACUGACACUGAGGUGCGAAAGUCGUGGGGAGCAAACAGGAUUAGCAUACCCUGUGUAGUCCCACGCCGUAAACGCAUGUCUCAACUAGUCCGUUUGGUAGCCGGAUGA